rnacentral:lncRNA from 1 species
AGUCUGAAUGCAGUUGUGAGUUGUUUAUAAGGUUACUUGUUUAGUCUCUACUAAUGUCAAAGAUGAAUCGUUCCAGACCUGAUGAUGACCGAUAUAAAAUAAAUCAUUCAAGACCUGAUGAUGACCAAUAUAAAGUAUCUGAUGUUGAGAUGACUGAAGAUCUGUAUGAGAAUGUAAGUUAUCAUUAUCUAGUCCAUUGGUGUCAAUGCUAAUAUGGUUAUUGUUAUAGAUAUCAUUAUAGUUAACAAUCGUUGGUAAAUUUUUUAAUCAGUUUUCCCUCUGUUUUUUUCUUCUAUGGGAAAGUUGAAUCAUUCAAGACCUGAUGAUGACAGAUAUAAAGUAUCUGAUGUUGAGAUGACUGAAGAUCUGUAUGAGAAUAUGAAUCAUUUGAGACCUCAUGAUGAUAUACUUAAAGUUACUGACAUUGAGUCGACUGAACCUGUGUUUGAGAAUGUAAUGGUAAGUGAUUUCACUCUUGAUAUCAAUUGUCUACUGACUAAGUAUAUGAUGCACACAAUAUGAUUCACUGUUUAAGAUCAAGUAAUCUAGUGAAGUUAUUUUAUACUGACAAGAAAUUUGAAUUAUUAAUGUAGUAAUUUACUUUCUUUCAGAGUAGCAGGCCGUAGUGUUUGGGACACUUGUCAAAACAUUUUAUAUACAUUUUUUUUCUGUCUCUCUGUGUGUGGAUCCCUUAAUGAUUGACAGUAGUGUCUUGAUUUACAUAAAUUAAUUUAGCAGUUUACCCUUUGCAAAAAGCUUGAUUAACAGGACCAGUCAUAACCCCAAAUCCAAUUUUGUCUGACAAACGAAUAAGACAGGAGGGUAGAUUAACUUUGGUGAAAAUUGUGUGUAUUGACAUCUUUCUGCAGUUGAAAUAAAAUAUGUCCUGAUGUUCAUUCAUGUUUAUUUUGUGCUAUAAGUAAAUAUGAAAAGAUGAUCGGUUCACAUGCUGCUUGAACUGAGGCAAAAAAUCUGUUACGGCACAUUAAAGACCCACAAAAUGGUAUUUAUUGUUUAAAUCCCUUACAAAUGUGAAAUUUGAUAGCUGAGCCUUUGUUUCAUACCAGAAGUAAACAGCUUUGCCUUGUCUGUCGGUGUGUAGUCAAUUCCCUUUUCGUUCUGCAAUGCAUUUUUCACUGCACGGGAACAUGUAGUGUGAGAGCAGCAUGACUUGUCAGACAUAGCAACAGUAACUAAGGAGGAUCAAUUGGUUUUAUCCAUAAUGAUUCACAAAUGAUGAGCAUUAAAGAUACUGUAAUUUUAUUAAAUUCCAUUUGAAUUAUGAAAACAAUCUUAAUUUGUAACAAACAAACAAAUUAAAAAUAAUAUAAACAUGUAUGAUCUCAUUGUAUGUAUAUCUUUAAAGAAUAUACUAUAUACAGUGCAUUGCCUUUCUAUUAAACUGUACUGUCA